rnacentral:rRNA from 1 species
AGUGAACGCUGGCGGUAUGCCUAACACAUGCAAGUCGAACGGCAGCACGGUAAGAUUGUGCUCUUACGGGUGGCGAGUGGCGGACGGGUGAGAAAUGGAUCGGAAUCUUCUUUUUCGGGGGUGAUAACGUGGGGAAACUGACGAUAAUACCGCAUACGACCUACGGGUGAAAGCAGUGGAUCUUCGGACUUUGCGCGAUUGAAUGAGCUGACGUCGGAUUAGCUAGUUGGCGGGGUAAAGGCCCACCAAGGCGACGAUCCGUAGCUGGUCUGAGAGGAUGAUCGGCCACACUGGAACUGAGACACGGUCCAGACUCCUACGGGAGGCAGCAGUAGGGAAUAUUGGACAAUGGGCGAAAGCCUGAUCGAGCCACACCGCGUGGGUGAAGAAGGUCUUCGGGUCGUAAAACUCUGUUGUUGGGAAAGAAAAGCAGUAUAUUAAACCAUGCAUGUCCUGACGGUACCCAAUCAGUAAGCAACGGCUAACUUCGUG